rnacentral:rRNA from 1 species
UGGGGAAUUUUGGACAAUGGGCGCAAGCCUGAUCCAGCCAUGCCGCGUGAGUGAAGAAGGCCUUCGGGUUGUAAAGCUCUUUCGGCCGGGAAAAAAUCGCCUGCUUGAAUAGAGUGGGUGGAUGAUGGUACCGGAACAAGAAGCACCGGCUAACUACGUGCCAGCAGCCGCGGUAAUACGUAGGGUGCGAGCGUUAAUCGGAAUUACUGGGCGUAAAGCGUGCGCAGGCGGUUUUGUAAGACAGGCGUGAAAUCCCCGGGCUCAACCUGGGAAUGGCGCUUGUGACUGCAAGACUAGAGUACGGCAGAGGGGGGUGGAAUUCCACGUGUAGCAGUGAAAUGCGUAGAGAUGUGGAGGAACACCGAUGGCGAAGGCAGCCCCCUGGGCCGAUACUGACGCUCAUGCACGAAAGCGUGGGGAGCAAACAGG